rnacentral:rRNA from 1 species
AGAGUUUGAUCCUGGCUCAGGACGAACGCUGGCGGCGUGCUUAACACAUGCAAGUCGAACGAGAAUCUACUGAAAGAGUUUUCGGACAAUGGAUGUAGAGGAAAGUGGCGGACGGGUGAGUAACGCGUGAGGAACCUGCCUUGAAGAGGGGGACAACAGUUGGAAACGACUGCUAAUACCGCAUGACGCAUAGAGGUCGCAUGAUCUUUAUGCCAAAGAUUUAUCGCUUCAAGAUGGCCUCGCGUCUGAUUAGCUGGUUGGCGGGGUAACGGCCCACCAAGGCGACGAUCAGUAGCCGGACUGAGAGGUUGAACGGCCACAUUGGGACUGAGAUACGGCCCAGACUCCUACGGGAGGCAGCAGUGGGGAAUAUUGGGCAAUGGGCGCAAGCCUGACCCAGCAACGCCGCGUGAAGGAAGAAGGCUUUCGGGUUGUAAACUUCUUUUAAGAGGGAAGAGCAGAAGACGGUACCUCUUGAAUAAGCCACGGCUAACUACGUGCCAGCAGCCGCGGUAAUACGUAGGUGGCAAGCGUUGUCCGGAUUUACUGGGUGUAAAGGGCGUGCAGCCGGGUCUGCAAGUCAGAUGUGAAAUCCAUGGGCUCAACCCAUGAACUGCAUUUGAAACUGUAGAUCUUGAGUGUCGGAGGGGCAAUCGGAAUUCCUAGUGUAGCGGUGAAAUGCGUAGAUAUUAGGAGGAACACCAGUGGCGAAGGCGGAUUGCUGGACGAUAACUGACGGUGAGGCGCGAAAGUGUGGGGAGCAAACAGGAUUAGAUACCCUGGUAGUCCACACUGUAAACGAUGAAUACUAGGUGUGCGGGGACUGACCCCCUGCGUGCCGCAGUAAACACAAUAAGUAUUCCACCUGGGGAGUACGAUCGCAAGGUUGAAACUCAAAGGAAUUGACGGGGGCCCGCACAAGCGGUGGA